UCUCAAUGACUUUCAUGGAGGCCUCAUUUC
rnacentral:piRNA from 1 species